rnacentral:rRNA from 1 species
GGCCAACCCCGUGCCAGCGGCCGCGGUAAUACGGAGGGUGCAAGCGUUAAUCGGCAUUACUGGGCGUAAAGCGUGCGCAGGCGGCUUAUUAAGUCAGAUGUGAAAUCCCUAGGCUCAACCUAGGAACUGCAUUUGAAACUAAUAAACUAGAGUAUCGUAGAGGGAGGUAGAAUUCCAGGUGUAGCGGUGAAAUGCGUAGAUAUCUGGAGGAAUACCAGUGGCGAAGGCGACCUCCUGGACGAAAACUGACGCUCAAGCACGAAAGCAUGGGGAGCAAACAGGAUUAGAUACCCAGUAGUC